AACGAACGCUAGCGGCGCGUUUUAAGCAUGCAAGUCGAACGGGGAUAUUAGGAGCAAUUCUGGUAUCCUAGUGGCAAAACGGGUGAGUAACACGUGGAUAAUCUGCCCUCAAAGACCUGGAUAGCCCGCAGAAAUGCGGAUUAAUACGGGAUGUGGUGCCUGAUCAUGAGGAUCGGGACAUUAAAGGUGGGGACCGCAAGGCCUGCCGCUUGGGGAGGAGUCCGCGGCCCAUUAGCUAGUUGGUGGGGUAAAGGCCUACCAAGGCGACGAUGGGUAGCCGGCCUGAGAGGGUGACCGGCCACAUUGGGACUGAGACACGGCCCAGACUCCUACGGGAGGCAGCAGCUAAGAAUCUUCCGCAAUGGGCGAAAGCCUGACGGAGCGACGCCGCGUGGACGAUGAAGGUCUUCGGAUUGUAAAGUCAUUUCGGGGAGGAAGAAUAAGCCGGCUCUAACAGAGACGGUGAUGACGACCCUCCCAGAAGAAGCUCCGGCUAACUACGUG
rnacentral:rRNA from 1 species